AGGCCAAGCUACCGGUGCUGCCGGCGGCGGCGGCGGCGGCGGGCGCCGGAAGCACGAACGGCGAACGGCUAAGGCACCUGCCUCUCGGGACUCGGGGACCAGCGGCAGAAUCUUCUCCGGGCGGCCCUUUUCUCUUGCCCCAGUGGCCUCUGCUGCAAACUCCGCACAAAUGCCGCGCCCCGCUGAGCCUCCCAGUUCUCGCCGCCGGCGAUAUGUGUAGGUAUCGUCACAGAAUUUAGUGCUACAUCUGUAUGAUCAGAAGAACUGACAACCAAUGACAAGUAGCGGAAGUUUCCAAUGGUUUCAUGCAAAUAUUGAGUAUUUAUUCUCAAGAAAUCUCCUCCAGAAACAAAAUGUACCAGAUCAUGGAUAAGAUCAUGUGUGACAAAGCAUUCCAGUUUUUCAUCAGAUUCUGCUCGUUGAAUCAUUGCCCUCUGAAUUAAAUCAUCGAAGUACAUCCUGCCAAUGUUUUCAUGGCGCCCAGUACAAUAUUGCUUGAGGAGUCCCAAACACAUCCAGAGAUUUAUCAUGUCUUCUUUCCAGAAAUAGUACCCCUUAGGGAGCAGUGAAAGGAAAACAAAGCAGCGCUUCAAUUGUACUGGCAUUCGAUCAUAGCUGAGUUUUAGUGCUGGCAGCACUCGAUCCUCUUCCGCAGAUUGCUCAUGUAUUAUUGAGAGAAACAAAUUGCUUGGGAGCUUAUCUUUUUAUACAAGAAACUUUGAGAGGAGGCCUCUGCAAUUUGGAAGCUUUAUUUCAUCAAAGAAGAAACACAGACUAUUUUUUCUGAUAAACCAAAUGUAGCAUUGGUUAUAGCUAGGAUAAGGGGAUAAUAUUACCUUCUUGUCACCUUUGCGCUUGCGCUUGCGACUUCUGCUGCUCUGCCUUUGAUUGCUUUGGUCCUCCAUCCUCCGUCGAAGCAACUCAUACCUGUAUUCAUCGACAGCAUCCUGGGCAUCAUAUGCAAGCUGCUGCAGCUCCCACAGGCGAAGUCUCUCGGCUUCAUCUCUUAUAUUGUGUUCAUCCAUCGCAUCGAGGGUCCGCUGAAUCCUUGCCAUCGUCCUCUGCAGAUCUCUUAGAUCUCUGAACGAAGCACUUUGCUCGUCAGAUGAUGAUGAAACGAUUUGAGGAGAAACCAAGGAAGAAAGCUUGUUUGUUGUCCACUUUAUGAUUCCAGAUGCUAGUAGUCCAGCCAUCUCUUCUCAACUGCUCUUUCUGAUCCAAAGACAGAGUUAGACCAAGCUGAGAGAUGAAUCAGAUUAACAAGGCAAGAGGAACAUAUAGAAGUUCAGGGUGUUGACCUUGUGGACAAGUGCAAUGCAAUUUUUAAUGCACAAGCUGUGGUUUCCAACCUCCUUACAACAAGAGGCAUAUAUUGGUUUUCAACCAAUUCCUGUUAUUAUGUUUCCAACCUCCUUACAACAAGAGGCAUAUAUUGGUUUUCAACCAAUUCCUGUUAUUAUAGUGUCAAAACUGCAUAACUGCGCACACAGUACCACUAGCUGAAAUGCAUUAUCUGCUCUUUUUUUUUUUGCGGGGAAAUGCAUUGUCUGCGUGGACACAUCAUUUCAGAAUAUCAAUGUAAUGCUCAGAACUAUUCUUGUAUGGUGACAUGC
rnacentral:sRNA from 1 species